GAUCCUGGCUCAGGAUGAACGCUAGCUACAGGCUUAACACAUGCAAGUCGAGGGGCAGCAUUCCAGUUUGCUUGCAAACUGGAGAUGGCGAUCGGCGCACGGGUGAGUAACACGUAUCCAACCUGCCGAUAACUCGGGGAUAGCCUUUCGAAAGAAAGAUUAAUACCCGAUGUCAUAAUAGAACCGCAUGGUUUGAUUAUUAAAGAAUUUCGGUUAUCGAUGGGGAUGCGUUCCAUUAGG
rnacentral:rRNA from 1 species